UAGUUCCCUUUUUAUGUUAUACCUUUUAGUUCCUUUGUAAAUAAAUACCACUUAUUUAAAGAUCAGUCUGUCUCAAGUCAUUAGCCUGGCACCUCAAAAUAGAGCAGAUCCAACAUAUUGGCACCCCAGAUUUGACGAUUUCAACUAAACCCAUCAUCGUAAGGAAAAGGAAUCUGCUUGGCUGAGAAGAUUUGAGAAGCCUGAGACUGAUGCGUUAAAGGUCUGACCAGAAAAGAAAGCCUGGAGCCUAACACAGAGUACUAGUGGAAGAACGAUUGUCCAUUUAUCCUGUAAAAUGAAGAAGAUACUGUGAUUUUAAAAUUGAUUUUUGUUUCAACAGGUUGUAGAUUUGUUUUAGCACCUGAUGACUUUGUGUCUUACACUAAAUAACCCUGAUUAACUGGAUAACUGUUUUAAAACCACGUGUACAAUCAAUGAGCUCAAUAGUAAAAUAAUUGUUUGCAAACAAUUUAAAAAACAAUAUUUAAACUCAAUAACAUCUCUUCACAAUACUGGUGUCCUUGGUAUAUUAUUAACUUUAUUGUCCACAGGUAUUUGUUUUUGUUCAUGUACAGUAUUUGUGUUGUUAAAUGUAAAUGUGUUUAUCUUUGUUUUACAUGUUGUCUCUGUUUAGUGUUUUGUGUUAGUUUGUAUACAGUUAAUCAAAACACUGCUAAAAAUAGCAGACCGUGUAAUUUUGAAUUUUUUUUUCCAAUUUUUUUUUUUUUUGCUCUCUACUUGAAUAAUGGUACCUACGUUUUUCGGUACCAAAUGGGGGGUGAUCAUAGUUUUUCUUUCCUAAAGCCCACCAAAAGAUACAUGAAAAUGUUUUUACAAUUUUUAUUGUUAUUUUUGUUUUUUUUGCAGCUCUCAUUUUAUGUUAUUUUUUUUAAACAGAAUGUAUUGAACAGAUAAUAAUGCUACGCAUAUGGUCCUGCUCUUGCUCUUUUAUUUAGAGGAUCCAUGAAACUACAUAGAAAAAAUUUGGGCCCUGGAUCAACUGAGUUUGGUUAUAUUUUGAAAGGCAAAUGUGUUUAGAACUUUUGAAUUUUAUUAAAACAGGUUUCAGAACAACAUUACUCACACAUUGUUUAGGUUAAAUGGAAAACAUAGGGUACAACUUUCGUCAUAGAAUAAGUAUGUUUAUGUGUAUAUAUAUAUAUAUCACUAUAAGUAUGUUAUUAAUAUUUAUGUUUUUAGUUAAUGAUGUGGUUCGUUGUUUUUACAUAGAAGUGAAUUUAAAUAUAAAGUUAGAAGGCAUUAUGUGGAUAAAAAUAACAUUAAUAUAAGAAUAUGCAGACUAGCGAACAAAUGUCUGUAGUAUAUAAAGUUUAAUUUGAUGUUAUGCUACAUGAAAUGCAUGUGUAUAUGUCAUGUGCAAUGUUUGGUGGUAUUGAAAACCGAUGUUAUUGCCAUAUCUUAUCAUGUGUGAUUGUGAGUGAAUGGUGUAUUGUUGUAUGUCCCCUGCCCAUUGCAUAAUACACCGAGAGAGCCACAGGUCCGAAGAGGAUUUGCCACAACUUGCGAAGAGGAUUUGCCACGACAGUAAUUAUGUUUGUUUUCAUAGAAUAUCCAAAAGUAUGUUUGUCAUUCUGACACACAAAAAAAAAAAGUGGGGAAUGUAGUACUGAAUUUUGGAUAUU